rnacentral:rRNA from 1 species
UUGACCUCGGAUCAGGUAGGAAUACCCGCUGAACUUAAGCAUAUCAAUAAGCGGAGGAAAAGAAACCAACAGGGAUUGCCUCAGUAACGGCGAGUGAAGCGGCAACAGCUCAAAUUUGAAAUCUGGCCCUAGGCCCGAGUUGUANUUUGCAGAGGAUGCUUNNGGG